CUCUCCCUUUCUCUUCUCUUGAAUGUUCUAUACACCCCUACCUUGGGACGCGCAUCCCAAGAAGUUCCAUACCCAAAAGAGUUUGGGUGCCUCUUUCUUGCUAGUUUCUAGCAUCUGAUAGCAGUACAUAGUAAGAAAAAACUCUAAAAAAGAAGAGAAGAAGAAGAUCAAAGAGAAAGAUCAAGUAUUGAUCACGAUCC
rnacentral:lncRNA from 1 species